AGCAGCCGCCGCGGGAAAACGUAGGGUGCAAGCGUUAAUCGGAAUUACUGGGCGUAAAGCGUGCGCAGGCGGUUAUAUAAGACAGAUGUGAAAUCCCCGGGCUCAACCUGGGAACUGCAUUUGUGACUGUAUAGCUAGAGUACGGCAGAGGGGGAUGGAAUUCCGCGUGUAGCAGUGAAAUGCGUAGAUAUGCGGAGGAACACCGAUGGCGAAGGCAAUCCCCUGGGCCUGUACUGACGCUCAUGCACGAAAGCGUGGGGAGCAAACAGGAUUAGAUACCCCUGUAGUCCCUGUCUCUUAUAC
rnacentral:rRNA from 1 species